UUGUUUUUUUCCAGAUUCAGGUUUUUCCAUUAGUUGUUUUUUUUUUUAUAGAAGAUUAUGAAUAAACCAAAAUCUUUUGAAUAAAUAAAAAAGCAUAUUACAUGACCUUUCAUUGUAUUUUGAGCACUGGUUUUCAAAAGUAAUCCGCUGGGUAUGCUAGUGUGUACUUUAAAUCAGGUGACGCGCUGGUUAUUUUAAACGCCGUGUCUGAUUAUAGUUUGAGGUCUAUUUGUCCUAAGAAGCAAAUUGUGCGAUUUGUUUGGGUAAAGAGCUUUUCCAGGGUGACUCACUGAGUUACACAUGAAAACAAAAAAUAAAGAGAAGGUGUUACAGUGGUACAUCCGACCCUGCUGCUGACCAGCAAAGCUUGUAAAACAGAGAGAGGAAAAAAAGACACUGAAAGGCGGAGGAGGUUACAGAGCGGCCCACAGCAGGCCCAUUAUCUGCCAAUUUAGGACAGUUCACUUCCUUGUCAGCAUCCUGGUCUCUGGCAAAAAUCUCUGUGUCAUCCCUCUUUGUCUUGUUAUUGGAGCUGGUUGUCAAGUUAGGUCAGAGAACAGGAAUAACCAAUGAGCAGCACCUUCCCUCUCCUCUCUCCCUUCCUCUAUCAUUUUCCAGAGCUCGAUGCAGAGGAGGAGAGGAGGGUUAGAGCGGAGGAUGAUAUAAGCGCAGAGUUUUAAUGAGGAUCCACUUAUCUGUCACUCAUACUCCUUUCAUUGUUCCCCUCCCCCAGUUAGCGAGAUAGCAGGAGCGAGCUUGGGGUGGUGGGGGCAGCAAAGUCAGGGUCGAGGGGGGAGUAGCACAUCACUUAUUUAUAGGUUAUAAAACCUUGCUCCCUCCUAUAUGGUCCAGUCUGCUUUUAGUUUUUUUAGUUGUUGUUUUUUUGUCUUCUUUGAAAUCUGUUUCACUUCCAUGAUAACUCGGCCUCCCUUUAGCAGCAAAUGCACGAGGGAGAGGAGUGAGAGGAGCUGAGGUUUAGUUACAGUGUGGCAAUCUGACAAUGUGCGUAUGUGUGUGUUUGUGUGUAAGCCAAUUAGCAUUCCCCUUGUUCACUGUCCCUUCUCGCUGUGUGUGUGUGUGUUAUUAAUAAAACAUACAGCAGAUGUUCCAAAGGAGCAUUUUAUCCAUAUGAUCAUUUUUAUUUAUAGAGCCCUAUUAAAUCAACGAUCCAUUCUAUAGAGCGGAGUUUGCAUGUGCUGUUUUUCUUUUUUUGUUAGGUCUCAUAAAAGAAUUGGAAAUUUUGUUGAAUCUUUCUCUCGUGCAUUGUGUUGCCCUGUCCUAACUACAGGCACAAACACGGGGCUGGACGAAAAGCCUCUAUGGUAUGCUUGUUCUUGGUUUGCGUUGCCUUGUGUGCGGGCUCUGUGCAGACGAGUUGAAUCCUGUUUUAUAAGUGAAUGUGUGCUCAGGUGUCGCCACACAAUCAGGCGGUUAGUGCGUUGCAUCGUAUAUGUGCAUAAUUAGGCUUGUGUGAGAGCUCCGCGAGGUCACGUAUAGGGUAAAGGCUGAUGCGCUGACAGCUGUGCUCUGUUGUGGCAGGUGUGUCGGGGCUGUAUAUGUAUGAGAACAACACGCCCGUGCCUGCAGCAGGACAUGAGCCUGCAGUACGUGUGCUCAGUGUGCAGGAAACUGUGCAGCUGUUGUUUGUAUGCUUUUGCCAGUGACUAGAGAUAUUGGAGUCAAGAUGUCAGCUUAAGGGAUGCCGAAGUGACCUCUGUGAUGACGAGUCAAAGAAAUCUACAACCUCCCCAGUUUGUCUGGUAAGAGCAAGAGGAUUGUGAUGACAAUAAAUCCAUGUCAGUAA